CCAGUCUGGGGUAGCAGAACAAGCAGCCAUAAAAUUCAGUUUUUACUGUCCUGUGAGCAGCAGUUGCUGAAGGCUCCAGUUCACAGUCUUUUAUGGAUUUUGACUUAAGCAGCUGAAAAGGUCACUAUCCUGCUAGCACUCAUUACUCCAGCAAAAAUUGUAAUAGGAGCCUCUAAACUAAUCACAGGGGGUUAAACCCUGUUCUUCAGAGCUGUCACCAGUAUGGAUCUGUCAAAAUCAUUGCUUGUAUCCAAGGACCUAAGGUGACACUUCUUGGUAGGGCAUUCUUGGAGAGAGGAGGAGCCAGAGGAAGACACUGCAGUCAUCAACUGAAAUGGAGGUGAUGUUCAGCUGCUGGUGAUAAUAAAGGUAGU
rnacentral:lncRNA from 1 species